CUUAAUGACCAUUAUGUACAAGUACAAAUUCAUCACAUCAUUAUAAUUAACGUACAUAUUUUCCAGUGUAGUGGUAGCGUUGCUGGUGGCUAGCUGCCGUAUUGGCAACAUAGUCUACAUUUUUCUCUGCAUUUUCCAACUUUUGGUAUUUACUCCAUAGGCUUUUUCCCCGUCUUGUCUACGCCG